GAUAUUCCAUUUGAAUACAACCAGAUACAAGGUCAGAACUGGGACAGAUCAUUCCCUUGAAAGGGAAGGGGAUGAUCUCCAACUGCUGACACAAAGAAGAAAUACCUUCUGCAGUGAAAUAUAUCUUCCUCAGAACAAUGUGGAAUCUAAUUACAUAAGAAAUAAAAUCAAAUCAAGAUACAGUAGAAGCUAUGUCCAGAUCAACAGAUAAAUGAAGAAAAAUUUGAUGAUGCAGAGAGAGGAAGAAAUGUAUCACAGCAUGAAGGAGGAAGAAGAGCAGUCAUCUCUGGUACCUUGGGUGAGAGCACAGGAAGAAAGCCAUGGUCUCGCCCUUUGCUUGAGAAUGUCUGAGCAAUGAUGAACUCCGUGACCUUGGGAUGUUACCUUACUCAGGUAUGUCACUCCUGUUUGCAAGCUCCUUUUGACAGAAGUGAGUCUACUGGGAACCUGUUCUUCCAGAUGCUCAGGAAGAGUCUUCUUAGUCUCUGGAAUUUAUGAAGUCAACACAAAGCAUAGCAUUUGUACUAUUUGCUGUUAAACCUGCUAAACAACUCUGAUACAACCAUCAGCAACAGUAUAGUAAGUGGUUCAGAGAAAGCAAUCUGAGGCCAUCCCCUCUUCACAGAGAGAAGCUGGAAUUCAUUGUAUUUUGUUCAGCAGAGAAAUCUGACUGUGUUGUCAGGGACUCUUUCAACACAGCUUAAUGACCUAUUUGGCACUUUUCAAAGAAAAGAAAAUUCUGCUGACACUUUUUCUAUCUAGUAAAAGCCAAGAAAAACAAGAUCUGCAGAGGUGGAAGUCCUUCAGAAAACACACCUGGCAACAGAGGCAACCAGGAAGAUAUCGUUGGAGCAUUCUGUUUGGAAGAGUAUCCAGGGACAGGAGUUUUCAGUGAAGGACUAUCAGCAACCACAGUAAUUGCCAGCUGAAAAUAAUCCAGCCAUUUCCAAGUAUAUCUUCUCAUUACCAUUCGAACAUGCCUCUCAAAUCUCCUCCAAAAGGGUCCUCAAUGUAGUUGUUUUGCCAAGCAUUUGCUUCUGUUGGAUCAAACUCCUUGCUAAUGUAGACUUAGUCAAAGACAACAAGACAUGUUUCACGCUGGCUCUGAAGUCUCUGAGCAGUAUUUGUUAGACCAUCACAAUACUGGCAUGCAGGCUUUUAGGGGAGGUUCCGGGGGUGAACUUUUGGUGUUGUGAACACAGUGACCUCCUAGAAAGUAUUUUGCACACCUAAGUGAGACAAGGAAUGGUAGAACCCUAAGACAGAAUGAUAUUUGCAAAGAAGGAGGCAGUGCAGCUGCUGGAAAAUGGAAGUUGAAAAGUAGCAUCGAAGGAAAUCUUUGUAAGCUAGUACAGUUUUCAAGUGUCCACGUAUCACCUCAAGUAAUCUCAUUCUCUUCAUAAAACAGGCAUUCCUGGACAGUUAAGAAACAUGUUUAAGCUUUAAGGACAAGAACAGAAACAUCAGAAACUAUUAAUUAGGUUAGGCAACUUUGGGAAAUCUGUAUAAUAAAAAUAACCAUAUUCAAUCAUGGAAGAAAUAAAGGUCUCUCAAUAGGAUCCCUGUGUUGGUAUAGUGUCAGCUACGAAAUAACAAUGUGACUCCUGGGAUUCAAUGGACAUACGCACUGUAAAGUGUCGUAGAAACUAAGCAGAUGCAGAACUGACUGAUCUUGAUAUAAUAAGGAUUAAUUAAAGUAAGGAAAAGAUUGGCUAUAGGGCUUCUGGGAAGAUAUGUUUAAAAUAUCCUAUCUUCUAAAAUGUAAUAGCUCAAAGUUGUCAUAACUGAAGGUGAGAAGACAACAUCAGAAGAUUGGAGUGAAAAACAAAGUAGCUUAUUUUUUUCAGUGGGUGCUGAAAAAAAGCUUAAAAUUUUGAAGGACAAUAAUAGUCUCAGAGCCAUACCUUACAUACCAGUAGAAAAGGCUUACUGUGCCUAAAAAGAGUUUACUGAAAUAUCAUUAAGUGACAUCAAAAAUUGUAAGAAUCUAAAUGCUUUAAUUUUUCCUCACACGUGUAUGGAUUUUAAUUCCUGCUGGGUCUUUCACAGUAUUAUUACAUUGCUGCCUGCAGGAGUAUAGCAAGUCAGUCAUUAGAUAUCAGAUACUAAAUAAAGGCUUUGUUAUGUAGGGCACAAAAUACAUGAUUGGCUUCCAAUCGUUUUCAAGCUCAAUUUUUCCAUAAUUCCUCUGUUUGUACUGAGGAAUCAGAAGCCACCUUUCAAGCCACUUGAGGUGAAAUGCGGGCCUUGCAUGGCAUGACUCUUCCAUGUUAAGUCAAAAUGCUUCAUUGAUGUUCUUUUCCAAAUUCUAUUCCUUGCUUCUCACAGUACUUUCUAAGAGUAAAAUCUCAAUCACCUCUGUCCUAGCAUUUUCUCUGGAAUCUAUCAAAUAUAGAAAUUACUGUCAAUGUUAGUAUUUUCUGUUUUUCUUUCAAAUUCACACAUUGCUUCAAAUAUGUAUUUUUAAGAUACACGGUAACUUCUAUUUUGACAAAAUACGCAUCCCCUCGCCAAAGUCUUACCCAAUAACACUUUCCUUCAGCAACACUUCUCUUCCUUGCUAUUGAAUAAUAAUUAACAGAAACACUAGAAGUCCAAGGUCAAAGUCAUCACCACAUUAUGACAGUUCAAGUUCUGUACAUCACCUUGAGAUGCCAUUUUUUGUAAAAAUACAGUGUGGAUUGAAAUUGUUGAUAUUCUCAUGGCCAUAUUGCUGUAAUAAUUCACAGGUUAUUUUUUAUCAGUUUUCCACCUUUCAGUUUCACUUAGUUUUAGUUCAAAAAGCCUUUGCUGUCUAUCUCAGAUGUUAUAUUUGCACUUUUACCAAUAAUCAUCACUUAUCAACUUUCAUGUUUCAGAUUACCAGAAUUUUCACUCCUACAGUUUCAGUUCUUCAGGCCAUAUCAGUAGUCCUUCAUCAAUAGCAUUAGAGAGCUAUGUAUGAGAUCAGUUUUAUUUUGUUCUACCAGUCAUCUUUUUCACUUUAUCUUUCUAUUUACCAGGUUACAGCUGCCUGAGUCUAAUAAAUAUUCAUUUGAUUAUUUUCAAGUCAGUCACAUUUUGACCUGUUUAGGUCAAGAGACUUAAAGAGCACUCAUGAUUUUCAGACUGUGUGUUUGUGUGGACUUGUUUCCAAUGUUCUUUUAUCAUCACAAUUAUAUUCCUUUCAUAUUGACCCUUAUUCUAUUAAAUAGCCCUCCACCUUCCCUUAAGAGUUCUUUGUAUACUUAAUGACUGGAUUUUUUUUCUGUUUUCUGAUCCACAUAUGGAAGACAAAAAUUAAUUCCUUUGUUAGGGCACCAUUACAAUGAUCCUGUAAUAUCUUGGGAUAACUGUUCUGUUAUUGUUGGUAAAAACCUGACUUGGAUUUUGUUAGCACAAUGAUGACAGUUGAAAAAAACCAAAACAUUGUAAGUGACUGAUCACUCAUUAGACUUACUUGGCUGCACUUAUUUUUCUUAAUCAUUGAAAAUUCAGUUGUCAAAUAUGUAUAAAUAACUUUUUUCCCCUACCAUAAUUUCUGUCGAUUCAGAAGGGAUCAGAAAAGGUUUCCUUGCUACAUGACAGAUAACUCCAUUCUCUAAUAGUCUGUUCUCUGCAGCUGUUCUUUCACUGCUGUACUGUUCUUUUUCUUCCACUAUUAUUGCAUUACAUUUUUUCUCUGACUAAUAAUCCUGUGGGAUAGAUCCUGCUCACACUCCUCUUCCAUACAGCCUACAAAUUAAAGAUGCAAGAAGCAAUUUCUACAAACGUGGAAUGUUAGAUAUUGUGGUAACAGGGAAUUUAAAAGUAACUGAGGUUUUUUUUGUUCACAUCAAUCCACUUAAUUAAACUAAAAAGAUGAAAAGAGUAAAGAAAAGCAAGAGACAGCAGUGGGUAAAGAUACGAAGUAUAUCAGAACAAAACAAAGGAAAGCCAUACUCAGAAGUGGCAAUGCUUUUCUCAAAAACACUGACUACAUUAAGUGCUUCUCUCUGCUCUGGUAGUGGUGGCCAAUUUAAUCCUGUGUAGCUGGAGAUAUUCAGGAAGUCUCCUACCGAUAUUAAUGACUAUUAACAAAAAUACUUGCUCAGACAGGCUUUAAAAGAUUAAAUAUAAAAUUUGAACUUAGCCUUUCAGCAGAUGAUGUCGCAUCUCUGCAUAAAUACUUGAUUUGAUGGCCCAUAGGUGUUUGCUUACAACUGUAUAUUCUAAGCAGGUAAAAACAUUUGUACGUGCUUGGCUUAAAAUGUUUCAUGUUUAAUAAUCUAGUUUAGGCCACACAACAAAUCAGUGACAGUAAGCAGCUGGCAUUCAACAGCGUUAUUGGUUUCAAAACUCCCACUGACUUAGUAGAUGUGAUAUGGCCAGUCUUCCCAAUAAUCCAGACAAUACUGCUGUGGAUCAAGGAACAUUUUAUGCCACUAAUUCCAAUUAGUGAAUAGGGAAUAGAAAAUCCAUAUCCUAUGACUUGUUACUGAGUACAGAACUGCAGCAGUGUUCUCAUCAGAAAGAAUAUAAGGAAAACAAACAACAGGUCUUCCUUUAUGCAGAUUUUGAUCAGGAAUUUGUGGUAAGAAUUUGCUUGUACCAAAUCAUGUGCUGCACAUGUAAGGACUCGAUGGUUUAAAAUGCCUCUGUCUUUAAUGUUUUGUUUCUGCAUUUGCAAUGUGAGAUUUUACUUUGAAUAAAGUAAUAAAUUUUAGAUUGAUUCAAAGUUUCAAAUUGUUCUUCAUACUUAGAUUACAGUUUAAUCAAAGUGACUAUUUCAAUAUUGCCAUGUUGUACAAAUGAAACAACUGAAAUUAUAUUUUUGUUUUGAUGUGCAUUGUUAAUAGAUAAGAAAGAAAAAGAAGGAUUUUUUCUACAGCCUAGUUUGCCCUGGAGUCCCAAAUGUAAUUUUGGGUUAGUCUAUUGGUUACCUGAAGGUCUCUAUACCUGUCUACACAUGCAUUUUUUAUUAGUUUAGCUGCCAUUAUAAUAAGGUUUCCUGCAC
ensembl:lncRNA